rnacentral:rRNA from 1 species
GGGAUAACACUUGGAAACAGGUGCUAAUACCGUAUAACACUAUUUUCCGCAUGGAAGAAAGUUGAAAGGCGCUUUUGCGUCACUGAUGGAUGGACCCGCGGUGCAUUAGCUAGUUGGUGAGGUAACGGCUCACCAAGGCCACGAUGCAUAGCCGACCUGAGAGGGUGAUCGGCCACACUGGGACUGAGACACGGCCCAGACUCCUACGGGAGGCAGCAGUAGGGAAUCUUCGGCAAUGGACGAAAGUCUGACCGAGCAACGCCGCGUGAGUGAAGAAGGUUUUCGGAUCGUAAAACUCUGUUGUUAGAGAAGAACAAGGAUGAGAGUAAAAUGUUCAUCCCUUGACGGUAUCUAACCAGAAAGCCACGGCUAACUACGUGCCAGCAGCCGCGGUAAUACGUAGGUGGCAAGCGUUGUCCGGAUUUAUUGGGCGUAAAGCGAGCGCAGGCGGUUUCUUAAGUCUGAUGUGAAAGCCCCCGGCUCAACCGGGGAGGGUCAUUGGAAACUGGGAGACUUGAGUGCAGAAGAGGAGAGUGGAAUUCCAUGUGUAGCGGUGAAAUGCGUAGAUAUAUGGAGGAACGCCAGUGGCGAAGGCGGCUCUCUGGUCUGUAACUGACGCUGAGGCUCGAAAGCGUGGGGAGCGAACAGGAUUAGAUACCCUGGUAGUCCACGCCGUAAACGAUGCGUAAUAGGUGUUGGAGGGUUUCCGCCCUUCAGUGCUGCAGCA